UAAGUAAGUGGUGGAAAUUAAACCAAAUGGGAUAUCUUUAGUAAUUGCGAAUGAACAAGGAUAUGCUUAGCUUGACAAAUGGAGCUAUUGGCUUUGAAUUGUAUUGUGGAAAUGUAUUACCAACAGAGGUGCAGGUGCCAGCCUAUUGAAAUAAAGCGUCAAUGAGGGUGAGAAUCCUGUUUGUCAUGUGCAGCCCUUUGUGCACGGUGUAUAUUUGCUGAGUCACACGCCUUGGCAUUGGAAUGCAAAGUGGGUGGUAAGUUUCAUGUAAAGGUAAACAUGCAAUUGAGACUGAUAGCACACAAGUACCAUGAGGGAAAUAUGAAAAGGACUUUGAAAAGAGAAUUAAAUGAGUUUGUAUCUGCUGAACACAAAGUAAACAGACUUGAUUUGCUUGGUGGGAGUGUUGCACUUGCUUGACAAGAGCUUUGGGCUGUGGGUGUAAUGAUUCUUUCUUUGCAUGCCAGUUUCUAUUUGUACAUCUGAUUACCUUUGCACAUGAAUGAUAAGUCUCCUGUGGGGGGUGGAUUGCAUGUGCAUGUAAUGGUUUGUGUUUUGAUAAAUGUGUCUGGUGUAUGUGUGUGUUCCUGUGCUUGGGGAUGCUUCCUUCCUUGGACUUACAAGCCCUGACACACACAUGCUGGCAAAAUGCUUCUGCUUGACCCG
rnacentral:rRNA from 1 species